UACGUAGGGUGCAAGCCGUUAAUCGGAAUUACUGGGCGUAAAGCGUGCGCAGGCGGUUUUGUAAGUCUGUCGUGAAAGCCCCGGGCUCAACCUGGGAAUUGCGAUGAAGACUGCAAGGCUUGAAUCUGGCAGAGGGGGGGUAGAAUUCCACGUGUAGCAGUGAAAUGCGUAGAGAUGUGGAGGAACACCGAUGGCGAAGGCAGCCCCCCCUGGGUCAAGAUUGACGCUCAUGCACGAAAGCGUGGGAGCAAACAGG
rnacentral:rRNA from 1 species